UCCAGAUGAGCCCAGAGAAGAAACACGAGUGUUCACAGACAUCAGAAGCUCAGAGAGGUGAAACAUGAGGUUGGAGUCCUCGUCAGCAUCCAGAAGAGCUGCUGUGAAACCCUGAGUACUCAUGACAGACUCUGAUGGCACAAACACAUCAUGAUUCAAACAGAAAGACAAACAUGGAGCUCCUGAUCCUCCUGCAUGAGAACAAGCUGACA